rnacentral:rRNA from 1 species
UUUGCUUUAAAUAAAAGGUCCAGCCUGCCCAGUGACACUGUUCAACGGCCGCGGUAUCCUAACCGUGCGAAGGUAGCGUAAUCACUUGUUCUUUAAAUGAGGACUAGUAUGAAAGGCACCACGAGAGUCAUACUGUCUCCUCUUUCCAAUCAGUUAAACUAAUCUCCCCGUGAAGAAGCGGGAAUAACUAUAUAAGACGAGAAGACCCUAUGGAGCUUUAAACGAAUAACACUUGCCCACACUCCUUUUAAUUUCAGAAAAAUCUUCUACCUUGGCAUCAUACUUAUAAGUUUUUGAUUGGGGUGAUCACGGAACAAAAAAUAACCUCCGCAAUGAAAGACUCUCCAUGACUAAAUCAAGAACCACAACUCUACAUAUCAACAAAUUGACACCAAUUGACCCAAUUUAUUGAUCAAUGAAC